UUAGAGUUUGAUCCUGGCUCAGGAUGAACGCUAGCGAUAGGCCUAACACAUGCAAGUCGAGGGGCAGCACAUGAGUAGCAAUACGAUGGUGGCGACCGGCGCACGGGUGAGUAACACGUAUGCAACCUACCUUUAACAGGGGAAUAACCCGUUGAAAAACGGACUAAUACUCCAUGACACAGGGGUCCCGCAUGGGAAUAUUUGUUAAAGAUUUAUCGGUUGAAGAUGGGCAUGCGUUCCAUUAGCUUGUUGGUGAGGUAACGGCUCACCAAGGCUACGAUGGAUAGGGGAACUGAGAGGUUUAUCCCCCACACUGGAACUGAGACACGGUCCAGACUCCUACGGGAGGCAGCAGUGAGGAAUAUUGGUCAAUGGAGGCAACUCUGAACCAGCCAAGUCGCGUGAAGGAUGAAGGUCUUAUGGAUUGUAAACUUCUUUUGCAAGGGAAUAAAGUGGGGGACGUGUCCUCCUUUGCAUGUACCUUGCGAAUAAGGAUCGGCUAACUACGUGCCAGCAGCCGCGGUAAUACGUAGGGGGCGAGCGUUGUCCGGAAUUAUUGGGCGUAAAGGGUUCGUAGGCGGUAAUACAUGUCAGAUGUGAAAUCUUGUGGCUUAACCACAUCAAGCAUCUGAAACUGUAUAACUUGAGUGGAGGAGAGGUAAGUGGAAUUCCUAGUGUAGCGGUGAAAUGCGUAGAUAUUAGGAAGAAUACCAGUAGCGAAGGCGACUUACUGGCCUCUAACUGAUGCUGAUGAACGAAAGCGUGGGUAGCAAACAGGAUUAGAUACCCUGGUAGUCCACGC
rnacentral:rRNA from 1 species